GGAGCCGGGACUGAAGUAACUGAACGGGGCGAGCGGACAGAGAACGGGUCAGUGAGGAGGAGCCGCCGCUUCUCCUUCCUUUCCCCUUUAGACCCGCUCCGUUCACCCCGAGCCGGUUCCCUCUCGUCCGUGCCCGUUAAGCGCGAUCACACGCGGGCACCUCGUGUGAGGACAGAGCGCGGGCCCUGCAGUGGAUCUGGAAUUUGAUCUCUGCUCUCUGCAAUCUCCUGUAGCUGAGAACUCAGUUCUUUCCGGCUGCUGACUGACUGCUGACUGCUUUCUCUUUUGCAUUCCCCUUCUCCAGCUCCUCUCUGCGCCGUGUAGUCGCUCACCUCACGUCAGUUUGUGUCCCGCUGUGACAGAAGUAAAUGCUUUUCUGAACAGAUUCUUAGCGGUGACGGAGUUUUUGAUGAUGGGGUCUCUGUGCCUUAGCAUCUGAAUGAAUUCCUAAGCUUGGCUGGGGCAUUUAAGCCUUAUGAAAUAAGAAUGAAUUGUCAAGCUCAGGCCUUCCUGGGUCAGUUCUUCCCUAAGUUCAAAGAAAAGCAGAAAAGGGCCUCAGCGUCAGUUCUUGUUUUAAAAUCAGAUGAUAACUUGUCUUCACAAAAGAUCAAUUAUGUUUUUAAAUAAAUGCAUCUGAAAUUUAAUACAUCUAAAAAAAAAAAUCUUGUUUUUGUACCGUGUGCACAUUACAAAUAACUUAUGUAUCAACAAACUUUGAAGCAGAUUGACUUGAACCAUGGCAAAAAUAAUCCCACUGAAAUGAGAAAGUACUGUGUGGAAUCUCAGAAUGGGUAAGAGUGCAACCCCAAUAGCCUCCCUUAAACAAUUUUAUUUUUUCUUCCCGUAUUAAUGAUGGAAUUUUUGUGCAGCUAAUUCUGCUGCACAAUAGGUCUUCAGAUAGGUCUUGAAAGCUUGAUCUUAGAUCACAACACGGAAUGUAUUAAAGAGACUCUGUCUAUGACACAGUGAUUUUUACUAUUGGCUGAAAAGGGUACAAAUCUUUUAAGGCUACUGAGGUGAGAAAUGUUUUUAGUCUCUGCAAAUAAACUACUUCCAAAUUUA